AGAGUUUGAUUCUGGCUCAGGAUGAACGCUGGCGGCGUGCCUAACACAUGCAAGUCGAGCGAUCUCUCGGAGAAGAGCGGCGGACGGGUGAGUAACGCGUGGGUAACCUGCCCUAUACACACGGAUAACGUACCGAAAGGUACGCUAAUACGAGAUAAUAUGCUUUAGUCGCAUGGCUGAAGUAUCAAAGCUCCGGCGGUAUAGGAUGGACCCGCGUCUGAUUAGCUAGUUGGUAAGGUAAUGGCUUACCAAGGCGACGAUCAGUAGCCGACCUGAGAGGGUGAUCGGCCACAUUGGAACUGAGACACGGUCCAAACUCCUACGGGAGGCAGCAGUGGGGAAUAUUGCACAAUGGGCGAAAGCCUGAUGCAGCCAACGCCGCGUGAGCGAUGAAGGCCUUCGGGUCGUAAAGCUCUGUCCUCAAGGAAGAUAAUGACGGUACUUGAGGAGGAAGCCCCGGCUAACUACGUGCCAGCAGCAGC
rnacentral:rRNA from 1 species